rnacentral:misc_RNA from 1 species
UCCCCGUUAACCGGGGCAGUUUCGUGUGAAAAAUACAACACACGACAAGGGUUGCGCUCGUUUACGGACUUAACCGUACACUUCACAGCACGAGCUGACGACAGCCGUGCAACAUCUGUCACCUGGUUCCUUGCGGCACGGUCUAGUUUCUUAGACUUUCCAGGGAUGUCAAACCUCGGUAAGGUUCUUCGCUUACCGUCGAAUUAAACCACAUGCUCCACCGCUUGUGCGGGCCCCCGUCAAUUCCUUUGAGUUUCAACCUUGCGGUCGUACUCCCCAGGCGGGGAACUUAAUGCGUUAGCUGCGGCACGGAGGGGGUCGACACCCCCCACACCUAGCAUCCACCGUUUAGGGCGUGGACUAC